AACGAACGCUGGCGGCAUGCCUAACACAUGCAAGUCGAACGAGACCUUCGGGUCUAGUGGCGCACGGGUGCGUAACGCGGGGGAACCUGCCCUUAGGUUCGGAAUAACUCCCCGAAAGGGGUGCUAAUACCGGAUAAUGUCUUCGGACCAAAGAUUUCUCGCCUUUGGAUGGGCCCGCGUUGGAUUAGCUAGUUGGUAGGGUAAAAGCCUACCAAGGCGACGAUCCAUAGCUGGUCGGAGAGGAUGAUCAGCCACACUGGGACUGAGACACGGCCCAGACUCCUACGGGAGGCAGCAGUGGGGAAUAUUGGACAAUGGGCGAAAUCCUGAUCCAGCAAUGCCGCGUGAGUGAUGAAGGCCUUAGGGUUGUAAAGCUCUUUUACCCGGGAUGAUAAUGACAGUACCGGGAGAAUAAGCUCCGGCUAACUCCGUG
rnacentral:rRNA from 1 species